rnacentral:rRNA from 1 species
UACAUGGGGUGCAAACGUUGCUCGGAAUUAUUGGGCGUAAAGCGCGCGUAGGCGGUUACUUAAGUCGGAUGUGAAAGCCCUCGGCUUAACUGAGGAAGUGCACCCGAAACUGAGUAGCUAGAAUACGAAAGAGGGUCGCGGAAUUCCCGGUGUAGAGGUGAAAUUCGUAGAUAUCGGGAGGAACACCGGUGGCGAAGGCGGCGACCUGGGUCGAGACUGACGCUGAGGAGCGAAAGCGUGGGGAGCGAACAGG